rnacentral:rRNA from 1 species
CCUACGGGAGGCAGCAGUGGGGAAUAUUGGGCAAUGGGCGCAAGCCUGACCCAGCAAUGCCGCGUGAAGGAAGAAGGCUUUCGGGUUGUAAACUUCUUUGACAGGGGAAGAGCAGAAGACGGUACCCUGAAAACAAGCCACGGCUAACUACGUGCCACCAGCCGCGGUAAUACGUAGGUGGCAAGCGUUGUCAGGAUUUACUGGGUGUAAAGGGCGUGUAGGCGGGAAGGCAAGUCAGAUGUGAAAUCUGGAGGCUCAACCUCCAAAUUGCAUUUGAAACUGGUUUUCUUGAGUACUGGAGAGGCAGACGGAAUUCCUGGUGUAGCGGUGAAAUGCGUAGAUAUAAGGAGGAACACCAGUGGCGAAGGCGGUCUGCUGGACAGCGACUGACGGUGAGGCGCGAAAGCGUGGGGAGCAAACAGGAUUAGAUACCCUAGUAGUC